CCCGCUCCCGGUAAAACGGGACGGCCCGCCAGAGGACCCCUAAACUCUGUUUCUAUAUGUAACUUCUGAGUAAAACCAUAAAUAAAUCAAAACUUUCAACAACGGAUCUCUUGGUUCUGGCAUCGAUGAAGAACGCAGCAAAAUGCGAUAAGUAAUGUGAAUUGCAGAAUUCAGUGAAUCAUCGAAUCUUUGAACGCACAUUGCGCCCGCCAGUAUUCUGGCGGGCAUGCCUGUUCGAGCGUCAUUUCAACCCUCAAGCCCAGCUUGGUGUUGGGACUCGCGAGUCAAAUCGCGUUCCCCAAAUUGAUUGGCGGUCACGUCGAGCUUCCAUAGCGUAGUAGUAAAACCCUCGUUACUGGUAAUCGUCGCGGCCACGCCGUUAAACCCCAACUUCUGAAUGUUGACCUCGGAUCAGGUAGGAAUACCCGCUGAACUUAAGCAUAUCAAUAAGCGGAGGAAAAGAAACCAACAGGGAUUGCCCUAGUAACGGCGAGUGAAGCGGCAACAGCUCAAAUUUGAAAUCUGGCUCUCGGGCCCGAGUUGUAAUUUGUAGAGGAUACUUUUGAUGCGGUGCCUUCCGAGUUCCCUGGAACGGGACGCCAUAGAGGGUGAGAGCCCCGUCUGGUUGGAUGCCAAAUCUCUGUAAAGUUCCUUCGACGAGUCGAGUAGUUUGGGAAUGCUGCUCUAAAUGGGAGGUAUAUGUCUUCUAAAGCUAAAUACCGGCCAGAGACCGAUAGCGCACAAGUAGAGUGAUCGAAAGAUGAAAAGCACUUUGAAAAGAGAGUUAAAAAGUACGUGAAAUUGUUGAAAGGGAAGCGUUUAUGACCAGACUUGGGCUUGGUUGAUCAUCUGGGGUUCUCCCCAGUGCACUCUUCCAGUCCAGGCCAGCAUCAGUUUUCGCCGGGGGAUAAAGACUUCGGGA
rnacentral:rRNA from 1 species